GCCUAGGUGUUCAUAGCCGAGUGGACCCACGCUGAUCCAUAUCGAACUCAGUAGUGAAACGCUCGCGCGGCGAGGAUACUUAAGGGGUAGCCCUUAGGGAAAGCAGCUCAAUGCCUGGGUUCUAAAGUUUAAUUUUUUCU
rnacentral:rRNA from 1 species